rnacentral:rRNA from 1 species
CCUACGGGUGGCAGCAGUGGGGAAUAUUGGGCAAUGGACGCAACUCUGACCCAGCAACGCCGCGUGAGUGAUGAAGGUCUUCGGAUUGUAAAACUCUUUAUGUGGGGACGCAGACAGUGACUGUACCCACAGAAUAAGCCUCGGCUAACUACGUGCAAGCAGUCGCGGUAAUCCGUAGGCGGCAAGCGUUAUCCGGAAUGACUGGGCGUAAGGGUUGCGUAGGUGGUUAGGCAAGUUAGUAGCGUAAUUCCGGGGCUCAACCUCGGAAGUAGUACGAAAACUGUUGGGCUUGAGUGCAGGGGGGGCAUAUGGAAUGUCUAGUGUAGCGGUGGAAUGCGUAGAGAUCAGGAAGAACACCGGUGGCGAAGGCGACAUGCUGGACUGUAACUGACGCUGAGGCACGAAAGCGUGGGGAGCAAACAGGAUUAGAUACCCGGGUAGUC